GAAAGCCUGACGCAGCAACGCCGCGUGGGGGAUGAAGGUUCUCGGAUUGUAAACCCCUUUCGAUCGGAACGAAUCUCCUCCUGGUAAAUAAUCAGGAGGAUCGACGGUACCGGGAGAAGAAGCCACGGCUAACUCUGUGCCAGCAGCCGCGGUAAGACAGAGGUGGCGAGCGUUGUUCGGAUUUAUUGGGCGUAAAGCGAACGCAGGUGGUUUGGUAAGUCAGAGGUGAAAGACCACAGCUUAACUGUGGCACUGCCUUUGAUACUGCCUUUCUAGAGUGCAUGAGGGGGAAGCGGAAUUCCGAGUGUAGAGGUGAAAUUCGUAGAUAUUCGGAGGAACACCGGUGGCGAAGGCGGCUUCCUGGCAUGUAACUGACACUCAUGUUCGAAAGCGUGGGUAGCAAACAGGAUUAGAUACCCUGGUAGUCCACGCCCUAAACGAUGGGCACUAGGUGUGGGAGGUAUCGACCCCUUCCGUGCCGCAGCUAACGCAUUAAGUGCCCCGCCUGGGG
rnacentral:rRNA from 1 species